rnacentral:rRNA from 1 species
CAGUCGCCGCGGUAAUACGAAGGGUGCAAGCGUUAAUCGGAAUUACUGGGCGUAAAGCGUGCGUAGGCGGUGAGUUAAGUCUGCUGUGAAAUCCCCGGGCUCAACCUGGGAAUGGCAGUGGAUACUGGCUCGCUAGAGUGUGUCAGAGGAUGGUGGAAUUCCCGGUGUAGCGGUGAAAUGCGUUGAGAUCGGAAAGAACACCAACGGCGAAAGCACUCUGCUGGGCCGACACUGACACUGAGAGACGAAAGCUAGGGGAGCAAAUGGGAUUAGAUACCCCCGUAGUCCCUGUCUCUUAUAU